rnacentral:rRNA from 1 species
GACGGAGGGUGCAAGCGUUGUUCGGAAUUACUGGGCGUAAAGGGCGCGUAGGCGGUCUGUUAAGUUCGGUGUGAAAGCCCCCGGCUCACCUGGGGAACUGCGCCGGAAACCGACAGACUCGAGUACCGGAGAGGAGGGUGGAAUUCCUGGUGUAGCGGUGAAAUGCGUAGAUAUCAGGAGGAACACCGGUGGCGAAGGCAGCUUACUAGACUGUAACUGACGCUGAGGCACGAAAGUGUGGGGAUCAAACAGG